UGGGCUUAAGGGAUUCUCCUGCCUCAAUCACAGCCUCCCAAGUAGCUGAGAUUACAAGUGCUCACCACCGUGCCAGCGAGUUCAGUUUUUGAGAUCUGUCCCAUUCCACGAAGGAUUUAAGGCUAAAGAUUUAAGUUGUGAAGAUGAUAAUGGAUUGACUCUAUGAAUGGCCACAUUUUUUUAUGCCUCCCUUUUCCCUUGUCCUUGAGCAGUGUCCUCCGACACUGACUCUGUGCUUGGCCCUGUGGCUUGCUUUGGCCAAUGGUACAGCAGCAAACUUGAUGCAAACACAACUUGAAAAAGAAGAGGACAGCCAAGUCAUCCCAGCCAAGGCCACCCUGGACCAGCCAGCCUCUUGCCAAGCUGCCAGUGACCACAGAGUCCAAUUAACAACAGCCAGUCCUGGCCCAGGGUGGAGCCAAGACUCUGAGGAGAGGGCUGAACUGUGAACCUAGAAGUACCAUCUCCCCCUGCACACACCUUUGGUCAAGUUGACCCCAAGAAGAAGGACAAGUCCUCUGCACGGCGAUGAGGCCAUACACACAGUCUGUGGCCCGGCUUUGGGAGACUGAUGGGACAAAGGAUGUUUUGCACGAUCCUUGGUCUCUGAGCAAAUAUAUACAUGGGUUAACA
rnacentral:lncRNA from 1 species